rnacentral:rRNA from 1 species
GAUGAACGCUGGCGGCGUGCCUAAUACAUGCAAGUCGAGCGAACGGACGAGAAGCUUGCUUCUCUGAUGUUAGCGGCGGGCGGGUGAGUAACACGUGGAUAACCUACCUAUAAGACUGGGAUAACUUCGGGAAACCGUAGCUAAUACCGGAUAAUAUUUUGAACCGCAUGGUUCAAAAGUGAAAGACGGUCUUGCUGUCACUUAUAGAUGGAUCCGCGCUGCAUUAGCUAGUUUGUAAGGUAACGGCUUACCAAGGCAACGAUGCAUAGCCGACCUGAGAGGGUGAUCGGCCACACUGGAACUGAGACACGGUCCAGACUCCUACGGGAGGCAGCAGUAGGGAAUCUUCCGCAAUGGGCGAAAGCCUGACGGAGCAACGCCGCGUGAGUGAUGAAGGUCUUCGGAUCGUAAAGCUCUGUUAUUAGGGAAGAACAUAUGUGUAAGUAACUGUGCACAUCUUGACGGUACCUAAUCAGAAAGCCACGGCUAACUACGUG